AAUAUCUCAUUACCUGACGGUAUUUUAAAUGCAAAGUAUAACAAAUACAUGGUUAUUUUUAGGAUAAAACCAAUAUCUGUAUAUAAUAUUCUGCUUUUAUAAUAUUACUUUCUAACCUCUUGGAUCACAUCCCGUGCUAUGCAGAAAAAUUCAUUUCCAUCGGAAGAGACUUUGCUGAGCACAUGAGUCUGACGCUGCUUGCUACCUGACUGCUGGGCAAUUACAUCAAGAGGUGACCUUUAUGACCCAAAGAUUUAUCAAGUCAGCAAUCUGUUCCCUGGGGCCAGCAUCUUCAGCGUCUUCCUCUGCCAGUCACGUCUGUGGAAGACUUUGCCAAACCCCAUGAGAAAAUGGACUAAUCUACUUGUUUCAAAGAACAAGAAUGACAUCUUUACUGGCUGUACUUUGUCUAUAGAGGAAAGAAGCUAAUAAAGGAUGAAAUACUUUAUCCAAUUGUGAAAGAUCCAAUGCAAUGUUUUUAUAAUAAAGGACACAGAGAGUAGCAGUUAGUAAGCAGCUAGUCUGAGAAG